rnacentral:rRNA from 1 species
AUGAACGCUAGCUACAGGCUUAACACCUGCAAGUCGAGGGGAAACGACAUCGAAAGCUUGCUUUUGAUGGGCGUCGACCGGCGCACGGGUGAGUAACGCGUAUCCAACCUGCCCAUCACUUGGGAAUAACCUUGCGAAAGUAAGACUAAUACCCAAUGAUAUCCCACGAAGGCAUCGGAAUGGGAUUAAAGAUUUAUCGGUGAUGGAUGGGGAUGCGUCUGAUUAGCUUGUUGGCGGGGUAACGGCCCACCAAGGCAACGAUCAGUAGGGGUUCUGAGAGGAAGGUCCCCCACAUUGGAACUGAGACACGGUCCAAACGCCUACGGGAGGCAGCAGUGAGGAAUAUUGGUCAAUGGGCGAGAGCCUGAACCAGCCAAGUAGCGUGCAGGAAGACGGCCCUAUGGGUUGUAAACUGCUUUUAUAAGGGAAUAAAGUGGGUCACGUGUGACUUUUUGCAUGUACCUUAUGAAUAAGGACCGGCUAAUUCCGUG